AUUACAUGUUUAUCUGGUCGCUGCUUUCUCAGAGUUACAUACAUUUAUAAGAAGCACUUUUACCCACAGCACACUUCAGUGUUUCCUGCUGUUCAACACUUUUACUCAUGAAAACAAAUAAUCAAAUCUAUGCAGUAAAAAGCUGAAGUGUUUUUCUUUUCCCCUCCAGCUGAAUCUGAGGCGACGUUAUGGCUUCAUCAGGAACCGUUACGGAUGAACCUCUGAAGCGCAGCAGCAGCUCUGAAUUACUGCAUCCAACCAGAUGAACCCCUGACCAGUAGGAACAUACCAGAGGGUUCUGUAUAGUGCUGCAGAAUGCUAUGGUAGCUGUUUAGGUUCAGGGUACCUCUCACUCUGUAUGAGUCACCGACUCUGGAUCCAGCAAAACAGCCCCAGGCCAUCACGCUUCCUCCUCCAUGUUUGACAGUUGAUGUCACACAUUGAGGAACCAUCCUUUGCUGCAACUCCACCUGUCAAACCUGCAACUCCAGGUCUUCUCUUCACAGUUGAAACUGAGAUUCAAGUAGUCUCUGCUGUACAGUGGAACAUUGCCACCAUAUUCAGGCCAUCCUGACCUGAUGAAUUUGGUGACAGCCUGUAGCUCGCUGUUGGCUGCUGUUGAAAAUUCUGAUGCUCUCCAUC
ensembl:lncRNA